GAGGGAGGAGUCAGAUUCCAUUGCUUCGGAGCCAUAUGGAAGUGUUGGGCACCGCUUGCGUGCAAGCUAUUCAUGUGGCUUGCGGUGCAAUAUCGUUUAUGGACCUCGGACAGGAGAGCUAGGCAUGGAUUGCAAGACCAAGCAUCAAAAUGUUACAUGUGUGACCAGGAGGAGGAUACAAUUGACCACAUUUUGCUGCAGUGCGUGUUCUCGCGGCAAGUGUGGUUCCGCUGCACUACUAGGGUGGGUUUGACGGCCGACCUUUGCCCAACAAAUGACUCAAGAUUGGUGCAGUGGUGGACGGAUACGAGAAAGCGAAUAGAUAAGCAGUCUCGGAAAGGCUUUGACACCCUCGUGAUGCUAAUCUGUUGGACGAUAUGGAAGCAAAGGAAUGCGAGGGUCUUCGACACGGGCAUAAUCAAGAAC
rnacentral:rRNA from 1 species